GGGGCAGUGGCGGGGUGCUAUACAUGCAGUCGAGCGGACAGAUGGGAGCUUGCUCCCUGAUGUUAGCGGCGGACGGGUGAGUAACACGUGGGUAACCUGCCUGUAAGACUGGGAUAACUCCGGGAAACCGGGGCUAAUACCGGAUGGUUGUCUGAACCGCAUGGUUCAGACAUAAAAGGUGGCUUCGGCUACCACUUACAGAUGGACCCGCGGCGCAUUAGCUAGUUGGUGAGGUAACGGCUCACCAAGGCGACGAUGCGUAGCCGACCUGAGAGGGUGAUCGGCCACACUGGGACUGAGACACGGCCCAGACUCCUACGGGAGGCAGCAGUAGGGAAUCUUCCGCAAUGGACGAAAGUCUGACGGAGCAACGCCGCGUGAGUGAUGAAGGUUUUCGGAUCGUAAAGCUCUGUUGUUAGGGAAGAACAAGUGCCGUUCAAAUAGGGCGGCACCUUGACGGUACCUAACCAGAAAGCCACGGCUAACUACGUGCCAGCAGCCGCGGUAAUACGUAGGUGGCAAGCGUUGUCCGGAAUUAUUGGGCGUAAAGGGCUCGCAGGCGGUUUCUUAAGUCUGAUGUGAAAGCCCCCGGCUCAACCGGGGAGGGUCAUUGGAAACUGGGGAACUUGAGUGCAGAAGAGGAGAGUGGAAUUCCACGUGUAGCGGUGAAAUGCGUAGAGAUGUGGAGGAACACCAGUGGCGAAGGCGACUCUCUGGUCUGUAACUGACGCUGAGGAGCGAAAGCGUGGGGAGCGAACAGGAUUAGAUACCCUGGUAGUCCACGCCGUAAACGAUGAGUGCUAAGUGUUAGGGGGUUUCCGCCCCUUAGUGCUGCAGCUAACGCAUUAAGCACUCCGCCUGGGGAGUACGGUCGCAAGACUGAAACUCAAAGGAAUUGACGGGGGCCCGCACAAGCGGUGGAGCAUGUGGUUUAAUUCGAAGCAACGCGAAGAACCUUACCAGGUCUUGACAUCCUCUGACAAUCCUAGAGAUAGGACGUCCCCUUCGGGGGCAGAGUGACAGGUGGUGCAUGGUUGUCGUCAGCUCGUGUCGUGAAAUGUUGGGUUAAGUCCCGCAACGAGCGCAACCCUUGAUCUUAGUUGCCAGCAUUCAGUUGGGCACUCUAAGGUGACUGCCGGUGACAAACCGGAGGAAGGUGGGGAUGACGUCAAAUCA
rnacentral:rRNA from 1 species